AUUUUUUUUAUUGACCUUUUUACACACUUUAUAUUAUUUUGUUUUUCAACAGGAACUGCAAGCUAAAAAUGAUGCUGCUAACGCAAAAUUAAAAUAAAUGGUCAAGAACCAAUAGGAGGCGGAGAAGAAGAAGGUGCAGAGUCAAGAGAUUCAACAACAAUUAGCUAUUCAAACGGUGGCUAUAAAUCAGAAGAGGGACGAUCUUGCCUUGGUGCAACCAGCCGAUUAUCGAUGCUCAAAAUGCUGAUGUCCAGUAUAAACCGUACAUUAGCAGCGAGCCUGAGGUCCGAUGCGUACUUAUGGACGGUAACGAGGAUUUUCUCAUAAUUGCCUGCGGAUUGUGGGACUACGUGGAUCAGAGAACCGCGGCGCUCUGCGUCUACCGACAGGUGCAACAGAAUUCCUCUUGACUUCACACUGGUGAGCGACGAGACCGAUGAAACAGACGUCGGAUUCGACUGCGUUGCAUCGAUGCAUCAUCAGGAUGCUACGCAGAGUUGAGAACGUAACAAGCUGUUAUUACAUAAGCCAAGCCAGACCCGCGAGCGGGAACAGGAGCACGAGAGGCUGUAUCAGUUGUAGUCGAUGAACAACUUGUUGCUUGAUUUACCAUUGCCAUUGUCGCCAUCACACCUCUCUGAAUUUUUCACAGGAUGCUUCUACUUCUUCCUAGUUGCAGAAGAACAUCAGUACUGAUGGUCCCGAUUCUCAGAGGUCAAAGGAGCACCUGUGGCAAAGAAACUUAAAUACAGUAAGACUAACAUGGAAAAAAAUUUCAAGAUAAUUUGACAGUGGCAAUGCGUUCUACAGAACAAGUGGAUUAUUGGGGUAGAUCUAUACAACAAAUCUUGUUGUUUAUUUUCGUCAUAAGGAAACUAUUAUUUAUCUCGACGAUGAAAAGAAGCCACCAGUCUAAAUCGAAAAGUGCAGUCACCUGGUACUAGAUGUAGUCACAACAUGAAAAGCCGCUGCAUAAGCUGAUCACAGAUUUGCAGCGAUUUGCCGCAAUGAAUUACGAAGAGUAAUUGCGCAGGUUGUCCGCGAAUCAUGACACCUACUUUCUCAAGUAUCGAUCAGAGACUGGCUGGUGGGUUUUCAAAGUUGACCACUUUUCCACGAUGGCAUGUUCGCCGACCUAUUCGAUCACUGAUGCUUUGAACUACUACGGGACCUUGUUUAACACGAUGGAAGCUCAAGUGUAUACAGCGAUGCCCAACCUGAGUAUAGAAAGAACUACUACGACAUCGAGUACGGUAAGCGAAUAGCCGAUUUCUGCUGUUAUUUUUUGAAGCUAAAUUGCUCGGGAAAUUGUGAUCUGAGCGAGCUUCUAAAUCCGUUGCCAACCUCUUAAAUAGAUUAAUGUUAUUUCGUAUUGGCGCUGUCUACUGAAUUUUAAUUUUUAAUGGGCACUUCCAGCAAACAAAAAUGGAUUCAGAAUAUUUAAAAUGGAUAGAAAUGGAUUUAAAAAAUCAUCAAUUUGGAUUCGGCAAUAACUACUCGAAUCUAUUUCUAUUUAAUUAAAGUUUAAGAAUUUGUUAAAUUCAUUUUAAAUCUGUGAAGUGAGAUUGAAAUUACGGGUUUUUUUUAUCAUCAAAAAAAUUGUGCGAGCCAUACAAUCCAUUUUGAUCUAUGAAACGGAAUUGAAAUAAAGCGAGAAAUAAAGUGAUUUUUAUUUUUUCCGAUCUAAAAGGAGUUUCGGCAAGUCAUUUAAUCUAUUUUAAUCCAUGACAUAGAAUUGAAAUGACUUAAUUACUCUUUUUAAAUCCAAAAUGUAUUUAAAUGAAUUAAAAUGGAUUACAUAUUUUCAAUCCAUUUUUGUUUGCAUUUGAGCUGCUAUGUUAUGACCCACGAAUAUGCGACAGUUCAAAUAGAUGCUGCUUCUCUUUUACAGAACAUAGUCGACACUUUUAACACAAAGCGAUACACUUCGCUUUUUAUUUACAAACUCAAUCGACAUUUUUUAAUUCUAUUCAGAAGGAGAGUCUGAGACUGUAAUCGACUGUGUUAACUUGUGUCGAUUUGUGUCUUCUAAAAGGAAAGCAGCCAGAUUAGACAUUGUAAUUAUCAACAAAUUAAGAAACGGCAAUACCGCGUAUGAGAAAAGAAGCGGAACAGUACACCAUGGAAAACUUUAUUUGUGGCGAAGAACGCUUUCUCAAGGAGUUUUCAAGGUGUUUCUCCCGCUUUCUUCGUACAUGUGUAACUAAUAGCGAAUUCAGUUGGAUUGCACUAGUGCGCACUGAUGCACAUUAAAAUCGCCGUACACUAAUCGACAAACGAUAUGUAUUAAUAUAAAUAUAUAAACAGAUUAUAUAUAAAUUGUGAAAUCUUUAAUCGAUAUUUUAUUAUGCUAUUUAGUAAAAUAUUUAUUUUUUUCAUUCAAAAUACUUAUAUUUUAUUUUUAAAUGAGAUUAGAUUAGUAUACAGGCUUUAAUAUAUACCAACCGAAUUCGCUACCAACACUUUUGUCAAUGCCUAUCUAUGAAGAAAAAAUAGUUGUUACAC